GAGUUUGUUUUUUUUUUGGUGGCAUAAUAUUCCAUUGUAUUAAUGCUAACAUAGUUUGCAUUAUUCUGCAGUUUAGAUGUGUGUUUUCUAUUUUCAUUAAUAUUAGAUAAUGCUAUAAUUAAUAACUUUGUGUAUAGAGAUUUUUUUCUGUGUUUCAGGUUGUUUCUUCAGGAAGAUGUCCCCAGAUGGAGUUAGUCAGUGAAGGGCCAGCCACAGAAUCGACACAACUUCGGCCAUAACUGUAGUUGUUCAGUGUGCUCUUUUCACAGCACAGCACUACCUGCAGCCGUAUCCUGACCACAGUGUACCAGAAUCCCAAGCAAGCUGCUUCUCUGGAGGGGAAAAAAGACAGAGGCUAUCUGGGGAGACAGCACCAGCAGGAAGCAGGGGUUCUAGAGCAGAGAGUGCCUGGUCCUGGGCUGUGCACGUCUGUGUAUGUGUGUCAGUUGUGAUACACAUAACCAUUGUCGGCCUUACUCUUUCCAAGUAACUGGAUAAGUUAAUUUCCAGCUCACCUCCCUCUGUGCUUUCCUGAAGCUCCUCUAGUCUGGCUUUUCUCUCUGCCACUCCCAUGGAAACCACUCUGCUCAAGACCAUGGUCGCCUUCUCCGUUGUCCAGACCAGGGCCAUCAGAGCUGCUCCAGGACAGAUGAAUGAGAUGUAUGAGUUUCCUGAUACCGUGGUAUCCCAGUGGGUGCUUGCCACCCACCUGCCUGGCACUCUGGGAUGGAUUUCUGCAUAAAUGUGACCUCUGUGGGUGGAGGCCAGGAUGAGGUUUAUGUGACUGCAAAGACAAGCCUUCGAUCAAUUCUCUGGUGCCACCACAGCUGCUGCAGGGCCCACCUCAUCUGAGAGGUGUGAUGGGUGCAGAUGUGAAGAGUUGCUGUAGAGCCUAGCUCUGAGCCCUCUGGUGUCCUCUGCCUGCACAUCUGUAUGAGGCUGCAAGGCACUAGCCUACCCUAGACCAAACCUCACCAAGUUCUCAUGGAACUCCUCUGAAGGUACCUCUAUGUGCUGAGUUCUAGGGGGAGAAAGGACACCCAAAGAAUAGAAGAGCUGAUCUACUAAAGUCAUACUCUUCUUGGGGACACAGGUGGACUGUGUCUUGCAUUCCACCUGCAAUUUGUCGUGGCCACUCAGCUAAGUGUUGGCCGAUGGAAUGUGAGCCUUAGUGAUGUGCUCUACUUGACUAACCUGAAAAAGCCCCCUGGGAACACUCCGUCAUGCUCUCUUCCAUUUCACCAGCUGGGUGCAGAUGACAAGGAGGAACUAGGGUAAGGUGGAGUCACAAUGCAGAGGGAGCCUGGAUGACCAUAUGGACAUACACAUCCACCAAAGACCGCCAUGCAAGCAAGAAAUAAACAUCCACUGUAUUGAA